AUAGAUCCGUAACUUCGGGAAAAGGAUUGGCUCUAAGGGUUGGGUGCGUCGGGCCUUGGUAAGAAGCCCUGGGACCUAGACGGGACUGUUUGGGGGGCAACCCCUGGAUGGACUCAUCCGGGACCUGGUGGUGGGCGACCUUGGCUGCUCUUCGGAGCGUCCGGCGUACAAUUAACAACCAACUUAGAACUGGUACGG
rnacentral:rRNA from 1 species